rnacentral:rRNA from 1 species
GACGUAGGUGGCGAGCGUUGUCCGGAUUUACUGGGCGUAAAGAGCGCGCAGGCGGUCGUUCAAGUCGCGUGUGAAAGCCCCCGGCUCAACUGGGGAGGGUCACGCGAUACUGAUCGACUCGAAGGCAGGAGAGGGAAGUGGAAUUCCCGGUGUAGUGGUGAAAUGCGUAGAUAUCGGGAGGAACACCAGUGGCGAAGGCGACUUCCUGGCCUGUUCUUGACGCUGAGGCGCGAAAGCUAGGGGAGCAAACGGG